rnacentral:tRNA from 2 species
GGAAGCGUGGCUGAGUGGUUUAAAGCACCGGUUUCGAAAACCGGCAUGCCGAAAGGCAUCGGAGGUUCGAAUCCUCCCGCUUCCG